rnacentral:rRNA from 1 species
GGGCCCGCACAAGCGGUGGAGCAUGUGGUUUAAUUCGAUGAUACGCGAGGAACCUUACCAGGGCUUAAAUGUAGUGGGACAGGUCUAGAGAUAGACCCUUCUUCGGACUCAUUACAAGGUGCUGCAUGGUUGUCGUCAGCUCGUGCCGUGAGGUGUCAGGUUAAGUCCUAUAACGAGCGCAACCCCCUAUCGUUAGUUGCCAGCGAGUAAUGUCGGGAACUCUAACGAAACUGCCAGUGCAAACUGUGAGGAAGGUGGGGAUGACGUCAAAUCAUCACGGCCCUUACGUCCUGGGCUACACACGUGCUACAAUGGCCGGUACAGAGAGCAGCCACUUCGCAAGAAGGAGCAAAUCUUCAAAGCCCGAUCUC